GAUGAACGCUGGCGGCGUGCCUAAUACAUGCAAGUAGAACGCUGAAGGAAGGAGCUUGCUCUUUCCGGAUGAGUUGCGAACGGGUGAGUAACGCGUAGGUAACCUGCCUGGUAGCGGGGGAUAACUAUUGGAAACGAUAGCUAAUACCGCAUAACAGUAGAUAUUGCAUGAUAUCUGCUUGAAAGGUGCAAAUGCAUCACUACCAGAUGGACCUGCGUUGUAUUAGCUAGUUGGUGAGGUAACGGCUCACCAAGGCGACGAUACAUAGCCGACCUGAGAGGGUGAUCGGCCACACUGGGACUGAGACACGGCCCAGACUCCUACGGGAGGCAGCAGUAGGGAAUCUUCGGCAAUGGACGGAAGUCUGACCGAGCAACGCCGCGUGAGUGAAGAAGGUUUUCGGAUCGUAAAGCUCUGUUGUAAGAGAAGAACGAGUGUGAGAGUGGAAAGUUCACACUGUGACGGUAUCUUACCAGAAAGGGACGGCUAACUACGUGCCAGCAGCCGCGGUAAUACGUAGGCCCCGAGCGUUAUCCGGAUUUAUUGGGCGUAAAGCGAGCGCAGGCGGUUAGAUAAGUCUGAAGUUAAAGGCUGUGGCUUAACCAUAGUACGCUUUGGAAACUGUUUAACUUGAGUGCAAGAGGGGAGAGUGGAAUUCCAUGUGUAGCGGUGAAAUGCGUAGAUAUAUGGAGGAACACCGGUGGCGAAAGCGGCUCUCUGGCUUGUAACUGACGCUGAGGCUCGAAAGCGUGGGGAGCAAACAGG
rnacentral:rRNA from 1 species